rnacentral:rRNA from 1 species
GACGAACGCUGGCGGCGUGCCUAAUACAUGCAAGUCGAACGCACAGUUUAUACCGUAGCUUGCUACACCAUAGACUGUGAGUUGCGAACGGGUGAGUAACGCGUAGCUAACCUGCCUGGUAGCGGGGGAUAACUAUUGGAAACGAUAGCUAAUACCGCAUAAUAUUAAUUAUUGCAUGAUAAUUAAUUGAAAGGUGCAAUUGCACCACUACCAGAUGGACCUGCGUUGUAUUAGCUAGUAGGUGAGGUAACGGCUCACCUAGGCGACGAUACAUAGCCGACAUGCGAUGGUGAGCGGCCGCACUGGGAGGGUGACACGGCACAGACGGCUAGGGGUGGCAGCAGGAGGGAAUCGUCGGCAAGGGGCGAAAGUCUGAGCGAGCAACGCCGCGUGAGGGAAGAAGGUUUUCGGAUCGGAAAGCUCGGUUGUAAGAGAAGAACGGGUGUGAGAGUGGAAAGUUCACAGUGUGACGGUAUCUUACCAGAAAGGGACGGCUAACUACGUG